AUGAACGCUGGCGGCGUGCCUAAUACAUGCAAGUCGAGCGAACAGACGAGGAGCUUGCUCCUCUGACGUUAGCGGCGGACGGGUGAGUAACACGUGGAUAACCUACCUAUAAGACUGGGAUAACUUCGGGAAACCGGAGCUAAUACCGGAUAAUAUAUUGAACCGCAUGGUUCAAUAGUGAAAGACGGUUUUGCUGUCACUUAUAGAUGGAUCCGCGCCGCAUUAGCUAGUUGGUAAGGUAACGGCUUACCAAGGCGACGAUGCGUAGCCGACCUGAGAGGGUGAUCGGCCACACUGGAACUGAGACACGGUCCAGACUCCUACGGGAGGCAGCAGUAGGGAAUCUUCCGCAAUGGGCGAAAGCCUGACAGAGCAACGCCGCGUGAGUGAUGAAGGUCUUCGGAUCGUAAAACUCUGUUAUUAGGGAAGAACAAAUGUGUAAGUAACUAUGCACGUCUUGACGGUACCUAAUCAGAAAGCCACGGCUAACUACGUG
rnacentral:rRNA from 1 species